AAUGCGGUGAGCACAGUUUCAGAGCAUUUGCUUCAACUGCAAACUGCUGGAGGAGAUGAAACUGUGGUGGAAAGGAGCACUCUACUGGGGAUCAUGAAGAUAGUAACUGAAGAUACAGGAACUUUAAGGAAAUGCAGUUAAAUUUGUAACUAUGGUAUUUACCGUUAACCGGACCCAUUUUCUUUUCUAUUGUCAGUGUUCUAUAUAGUAAGUUUUCUUAACAUUAUGCAGAUCACUUUUACGGCAUGAAAGCUCAUUCAACAAGCUUAUACCACUUUUAAUAGGUUUUUGAGCUCUUUCUCAUCCAUGUGUGUUUUUUUCUUCUAGUUUUGUGUACCAGCUGGUUCACGCAAUGAGAUUCUUACCUGUGGAAAGGCUGGUUUAGUGGUUCAUGCCGAUCUCAGGGAUGGAAAUGCACACAGGCUUUUGUACUGCCGCAAUGAGGAAGGCAGAGAGUUCCCUCUGUACACAAUUUCUUCUGACCCUCAAAAUGAACUUGAGUUUGCAGUUGGUGGGAGAGACAGAUAUGCAAGAAUCUAUGACAGACGAAUGCUGGGAGAGCGUGUCUUGGGUAUUUGGGGACUCGUGCCAAAGUGUAGAAUAGCGAAAGAAAAAGAAAAGCAGGAGGACACUAUGAAAUGGCUGGAACAAAAGGACGGUAAUGGCUUUGUUGCACCAGUAAAGAAGUUCUGUCCCUGCCACCUGGUUUGAAUUUCUUUUAACUAGGUGCCAUGUUUUCUGGUGUGUAAAUCAACUUUUGAAGGUAAUAACCUGAGUUCAUUGGUAUCAGCCCCCGGGAGGGGUACUGCCAUAUAUGGGCCAUAUAGGUAUGUGCCGCUGUGAAGGGUAUGGUUUUCAAGCAGUUU